rnacentral:lncRNA from 1 species
UCUUUUGUUGUAACGAACUUUGUCUGUUCGAAGUCAUCUUAUAAUGGACCUCUUUCUUUAUUAAGAUGCUCAUUCUGUGGCUUGUAUCUUUCACGAUCGUCUGAUGUCAUUGAGAAACUUCGAUCUGAGAUGUCAUCCAAAUUUGCUUGAAGUCACUUUCAACCAUUGGGAGGUCGUCCAAGGCUUCUUGUGGUCUUCAGUCUUGUCCCAGUGAUAAAGAAUCAGAUCUAGCAUGGC